rnacentral:snoRNA from 1 species
UAGAUCAAUGACAAAAAUGUGUUAUGAACCAAGAAUUAUGACUAACAAAAAUCUGUGCAUCUGAGGUUUAAA